AUUCUCAAUCGUUUUAUUUAUUUGCAUCAUCAUUAUCAUCUCCGAGGGAAAACUCAAGAAUGGAAUAGUUUCAUUGGAUCUAUCACACUUUUGCUGCUGUUGACUGUUGACUGUUUUGCUGUUUUACUGUUGACUCUUUUGCAUGACGACAUAACUAAUAACUCACCUCGAAUCGAAAAGGAAGAAUUGAGCAAGUUGUCCUUGUCCUGUUGUUGUCGCUUUGUGUGUUGUUUGUAUGUCGUGUGUUUGUUACCUGAUUUACGGGUAGUUCCUGAACUUUUCUUGAUGUUGUUUCUAUUUUUAUUUUAGAGCGUCAUCGUGUCUUGGGAUUUGAAGCUGUUUCUGUACAUAGUUUCGUUUUACCCCCUGAUCGAAAGAACAAACGACGGCGACGGUUUAUGUAAUGAUAUGUGAUGAGAUGCCGAGCGAGAGUCCGAG